ensembl:lncRNA
GUCGUAAAUUAUUUACAUGAUGAUUUGUAAUGCGCAAUGUGAGAGCAGUUACUUUUUUAUGGGUUUUGGACCUUUAAGUAUAAAGAUUAAUGCACAUGUGACAAAUGCAUAAAGGGGCCAAUGAACAUUAUUUUUUGUUUUAAUCCCGCGCUGGGCCCGACCGGGCCGCUUCCAAACGCCCCGAAGUGAUCGAUCGCUGAACGAGGUGUCACAGCGUUCAGGUCUCCGCUGUGAAAUUCAGCCCAAGCCCGUUUCCGUCAUUAGCGGACGCGCGGGGCCGCGCCAAGCCGAGCCGAGCCGCGCAGCGCAGCGCAGCGCUGAGUCCAGCCACUCGCUUCGCCUUCCCUUUUAUAUUUAGCAGCCCAUAUGAAUUUUAUUCGCCGGAUAAAAAAAAUAACGCGAGAGUUUGCAAGUUGACUUCAGACUGUAGUUACAACUGUCAAAGGCAGAGACAGAGUGGAUCGCGCAUGACCCGACGCGCACUACUACACAGUAUUACUGUACGCGGCCGCCCAGAUAAUAUCUGUUCGAAAAAUAGAAAUAAUUGCGAGGUAAGGAGCCGAGGAGUGCGUCGGAGCCGAACGCGGACGGGGCUUUCGGGCGGGUUUCCUCCGCCGGGGUUCCUUUUACUCCAGCCAACUGGCCAGACGCUGUCGACAUUACUGCACUAAACAUAUUUUUCUGUCUCCCUUUUUUUAGCUACAGCGCAGGGAUUUUUUUUUUUUUUUUUACUCCUCCUUCGUAUUAAAGUCGCCAUUUUGCUUCAGUGAAUAUAAAAGCUUCUUCUCCUGUGUGUAUUUUUUUAUUUCUUGAAGGAGACGACGGAAUUUCUGUCGCCGGAGUCUGCCUGGUUUGUGCCUUUUAUUUUUUUUCUUAUUUUUUCGUUUUCGUCGUUUUCUCGUAAACCAGACGGCUGAGGUUAAAAAAAGCACCUCGUGGGUUACAUAUUAAUGAGGGUACCGGACAGGAGGAGGCUGGAGCGGGGAAAAAGGUGAAAGUGUUGAGCUUUAUUGGAUUUGCGUGUGCCCCCUUUUCCCCCCUGUCCUCCACCCCUCCCGCCGUCGCCACCGCCGCCGCCGCCCUCAUCCUCCGCAAGGGUUCCCGGGCAGGGGCUGCGCGCGCGGGGCUGCGCGCGCGUGGCUGCCGAGCGCGACCGCGACGCCCGGCGUCUGUACGUCGGUCUCGUCUCGUCUCGUCUGGUGUGCGCUCGAGCCGGCUCGCGGGGGCGGCAGGUGCGACUGCCAUGUAACUGCAGGGACCCGCGCGCAGCCGAGUGCACCGCCUGACCCCACGUGGGUGACCCGCGCCACCCGGCCGCCGCUGGUGCCGGCGCUGGGCGACUCGCGACGUUCCAGGUAUGGAGACUUCCAGCGGGAAGCUGGGCUGUAUGCCCCCUGCCGUGGCCAGGGGUCGCCUGGCAAAGCCGUCCCACGCCCUGGGGGCAGCCACCAGGAUGGCAGGCACGGAGGACAGCAAGCACGGUGAGUGCACAGUCGCUGGCGACGUAGUGCCGUGGAGCCUGUCCCUGGCAAGACGCAGAAGAUUGCUCGCUAAUCAUCAGGUGCCUCUCCCGAUCUCCUGAACCAGCAGUGUGUCUGUUGUGUGAGGCCGUUUCAGUCACGAGAAGCCUUACAGUUUUGAUGUGUGCUGUAAUGUCAGUGAUCCUCUCUUCAUCACCUGAAUGACUCUAAGGAGAGGCAUGGUGGCGCAGCGGGUAACACUGGGGUCUUAGAGCUUCUGGGCUGAGGGCAUGGAAAUGGGUUCAAAUCCAUCUGUCUGUGUGGAAUUUGCAGGUUCUCCCCAUGAUUGUGUGGGCUUCCUGUGGGUGCUCUGGGUUCCUCCCACAGUCCCAAGACAUGUGUUUCAGGUGAACGGGUGACUCUAGAUUGCUCUUAAUGUCUCAGUGAGUGAGUGUGUGUGAUGGACUGGUAUCUCGUGUCCUUCGUAACACCCUAUGCGUCCGGGGCAAGCUGUGGACCAUCGUGACCCAGCAUUAGGGCAAAUGCUCACUGAUAAUGAGUAAAUGGAGAACUACUGACUUUUAAUCCAAAACCACCUGCAUCGCCCCGGUCCUACCUACUGCCACACCCCCAAAAGCUGGAUCAUUGUAGAGUCGGAAGCUGGCUAUUACACUAAGCAGAACAUCAGGAUGUGGUGCUGUUGUCGGUGUUCUCUAAAAUAUAGUCCGUAGAAUAUAUGAGCAUAAUGGUUUAAAUAUAACAGAUACCAAGCUGAGAUAAUUAUAUGUCAGAAGUGGUGGCCAUUUGGUUGAUUAGUAAAUUCCUGCUUCGCUGCAGAUUAUAGAGGGAAAUACCAGUUUUAGUAAUUGUUCAGCUGUUAACAUUAACCCCGUUAAAGCUAUCAAAAAAUAACACUGUAACUGACCCUGAAUGAGAUCCCACUUAUUAAAAAUGUGCGCGCAUACAGCACUGCAUUAGAAAGGCAUUUACUUACGUUUUCAAAUUAGACAGCGACUCAGAAGCUG